CGCCAUCUUGUCAGGUCAGUGCUGGGCGCCCGUCACCCUCGGCGGGUCUGGCCUUCCCGGCGGCCGAUCUCCAUCCCUGCGCUAACCUCUUUCCGAUCUUUUUCUUUCCAGGGCCCGUCCCGCCAUGAGAGCUAAGUGGAGAAAGAAGCGAAUGCGCAGGCUGAAGCGCAAGCGGAGAAAGAUGAGGCAGAGGUCGAAGUAAACGCCGCCGGACCCCACCGGAGCAAGAUGGGGAGCCGGAGCGGGACCUCGCCGCCGGGCAACCGGCUGGAUCCUCCCGGCUCCGUCCGAACGGGGCUCGGGCCACCGGACCCCCCCCCCGCCUCGUAACAUCGCUCCUCGGGCUCGCCACUCUGGACUGCCAUCGUCUCCGCCUUCCCCCGAGGCGACUGUAGCGCGGGAACAAUAAAUCGUUGGCACCGCGGUGCGAAAUUCCA